UACGUAGGUGGCGAGCGUUGUCCGGAUUUACUGGGCGUAAAGAGCGCGCAGGCGGUCGUUCAAGUCGCGUGUGAAAGCCCCCGGCUCAACUGGGGAGGGUCACGCGAUACUGAUCGACUCGAAGGCAGGAGAGGGAAGUGGAAUUCCCGGUGUAGUGGUGAAAUGCGUAGAUAUCGUAAGGAAGACCAGUGGCGAAGGCGGGUCUCUGGACAGUUCCUGACGCUGAGGCACGAAGGUCAGGGGAGCAAACGGG
rnacentral:rRNA from 1 species